rnacentral:rRNA from 1 species
GACGAACGCUGGCGGCGUGCCUAAUACAUGCAAGUAGAACGCUGAAGCUUGGUGCUUGCACCGAGCGGAUGAGUUGCGAACGGGUGAGUAACGCGUAGGUAACCUGCCUGGUAGCGGGGGAUAACUAUUGGAAACGAUAGCUAAUACCGCAUAAGAGUAGAUGUUGCAUGACAUUUGCUUAAAAGGUGCAAUUGCAUCACUACCAGAUGGACCUGCGUUGUAUUAGCUAGUUGGUGAGGUAACGGCUCACCAAGGCAACGAUACAUAGCCGACCUGAGAGGGUGAUCGGCCACACUGGGACUGAGACACGGCCCAGACUCCUACGGGAGGCAGCAGUAGGGAAUCUUCGGCAAUGGACGGAAGUCUGAACGAGCAACGCCGCGUGAGUGAAGAAGGUUUUCGGAUCGUAAAGCUCUGUUGUAAGAGAAGAACGAGUGUGAGAGUGGAAAGUUCACACUGUGACGGUAUCUUACCAGAAAGGGACGGCUAACUACGUG